CUUACAAUGAUGUCAUAAGAGAUUCUUUAGCAAAUUGGGACAGCUGUCCCACUUUUCUUUUUCAUUGGUUUUCUUCAAAUGGUACACAAAGUACAUUGAAUAAGCACCAGUUCUGUUGGUGAAGAUAACAUGAAAGGCCCCAAGAAUCCGGUGGUAUGGAGGAACACUCAGUAUAAGAACUGCACAGCUCACAAGAAACAAUCCCAGGUGGCACCUAACAAGAUUCUUUAAAAAUCCCAAACCCAAAACUAUCCUAAAGGAUGGAGUGAAACAUUCCCUUAUCUUCCUGUUCCAGCAACUACAAGAGGAAGAGGAAUGGACACUUUCUCUAUCAACAUACAAUGCCUGAUGCAUCACAUUCUGUGGCAUAAAUCUGCCUUUUAGUAGCUGUACUGCUAUUAUAUAUUUAUGGUACACUGAGAACAAGACUUGAUAGAUGAAACAGUUUUCCAAGUCAUAAGCAAUAGAAAUUGAAUGCUAACCGUAUGGAAUUGUUAUGAUAUAAUGGAAGCUGUUUAAACGUUGUUAAGCUGAGAUGAUGUUUUAAGUUCUUUCCCAAUUAUCAAGCCAUUUUGUAUACUAAUCUGUCUUCAUUACUCACUUGGCAGUGCCAGGACUGUUCACUGCCAGAGCCAAAGUCUUCAUAGCUGUUAGAA